AUAGGGGAGCUGAUCGUAUCGGCUGAGAGUAAGGCACAGCCUUUGACCCGGAACCUGAUCUGGAUAAUGCCAGCGUAGGUAUAGAAAAG
rnacentral:ncRNA from 1 species